UGCUCUCCUCAGACAUCUGACCAGGAAAGGCUAGGGACAGAGGGGAGGAGCGGAAAAGAGAGAGAGAAAAGACAAUGUGUCAAGAGUCACUUUUCCAAAGAAAACUGAGCACAUUGCGCAAGCCGCGUGGAGGUCACAGCCGUUGCACAGAGUCUCGGCACAUGAACACGUGUGGACGCCUCUCAGUCACACGUUUUGUUUCCCAUCAGAAGGUCGUGGAUGUCAACUGUCAUCUCAUCUCCACUUCGGCUCGGAUGGAAACUGAAACACAAAGAUGAUUCUCCUCCGCUUACACUACGGGGUGGGAGAAAUGGAAGCAAAGCCAGGAACAUCUAAUUCCUCAUCCUGAGUUAGUCCAUUGGGUCAGUUAGCCCUGUAAGUGUUGUAGUCAUUCAAAAUAAAAAACCAAGUGUGAUUUUUCUGUA